GCAAGUCGAACGGUAACGCAAGGAGCUUGCCCCUUGGCGACGAGUGGCGGACGGGUGAGUAAUGCUUAGGAAUCUACCCAGUAGCGGGGGACAACUCGGGGAAACUCGUGCUAAUACCGCAUACGCCCUAAGGGGGAAAGCGGGGGAUCUUCGGACCUCGCGCUAUUGGAUGAGCCUAAGUCGGAUUAGCUUGUUGGUGGGGUAAAGGCCUACCAAGGCUACGAUCCGUAGCUGGUCUGAGAGGACGAUC
rnacentral:rRNA from 1 species